rnacentral:rRNA from 1 species
ACUAGUUGAUCCUACUAGAAGUCCUAUGCUUGUUUCAAAGAUUGAUUAAGCCAUGCAUGUGUAAGUAUAAACUAAUUCAAAUGAUGAAACUAUGAAUGGCUUAUUAAAUUAGUUAUAGUUUGUUUAAUAGUAUUUAUUACUCAGAUAACUAUAGUAAUUCUAGAGCUAAUAUGUGCAACAAACCCUACCUUCUAGAAGGGAUGCAUCUAUUAGAUAAAAGGAUGACAUGAGCUUUGCCCGUUGCUCUAAUAAUUCAUGGUAACUCAACAAAUUGUAUGGCCUUUGUGCCAGUGACACAUCAUUAAAAAUUUUGCCCUAUCAACUUUUGAUGGUAGGAUAGUGGUAUACUAUGGUGGUGAUGGUUGAUAAAGAAUUAGGGUUUGAUUUCAGAAAGAGAGCUUGAGAAAUGGCUACCACAUCCAAGGAAGGCAGUAGGCAUGCAAAUUACCCAAUCUUGACAUAGAGAGGGAGUGAUAAUAAAUAAUGAUACUAGCCUCUAUGAGUCUAGUAAUUGGAAUGAGUACAAUUUAAAUCUCUUAAUGAGGAUCCAUUGGAGGGUAAGUUUGGUGCUAGUAGCCAUGGUAAUUCUAGCUCCAAUAGGGUAUAUUUAAGUUGUUACAGUUAAAGAGCUUGUAGUUGAAACUAGGAUUGGGUCGUUCGAUCCACCUCACGGUGAGCACCAGUUUACUCGUCCAUAUUGUUGGCAAUGUGCUCUUGGCCUUAAUUAGUCAAGUCGUUCCUCUAGAGCUAUUACUUUGAAGUAAUUAAAGUGCUCAUAGUAGGUUUAUGCUUGUAUACAUUAGCAUGGGAUACCAUCAUAGGAUUUCAUUCAUAUUAUGUUGGCCUUUGGGAUCAGAGUAAUGAUUAAUAGGGAUAGUUGAAAGCAUUUGUAUUUCAUAGUCAAAGGUGAAAUUCUUGGAUUUAUGAAAGAUGAACAACUAUGAAAGCAUGGCAAAGAUGUUUUCAUUAAUCAAGAACAAAAGUUGGGGGCUCGAAGAUGAUCAGAUACCAUCCUUGUCUCAACCAUAAACGAUGUUGACUAGGGAUCAGUGGAUGUUACUUUUAGAACUCUACUAGCACCUUAUGGGAAAUCAAAGUGUUUGAGUUUCGGAGGGAGUAUGGUUGCAAGGUUGAAACUUAAAUGAAUUGAUGGAAGGGCACCACUAGGAGUACAACUUGUAGCUUAAUUUGACUCAACAUAGGGAAACUUACUAGGUCCAAAAAUAGAAAGGAUUAAUAGACUGAAAGCUUUUUCCUGAUUCUAUGGGUGGUGGUGCAUGGUAGUUCUUAGUUUGUGAAGCAAUUUGUCUAGUUAAUUCCAUUAAUGAAUGAGACCUCAACUUGCUACUAUCUACAUGGAGUUGAUCCUUUGUGUCUAGCUUCUUAGAUGGACUAUGGUCACUUAAGCCAAGGAAGUUUGAGGCAAUAACAAGUUUGUAAUGCCCUUAGAUGUUUUGGGUUACACACAUGCUACAUUAAUGUAAAAACAAGUAUGUAGCCUUAGCUGAUAAGCUCGGGUAAUCUUUGAAAUUUCAUCAUGAUGGGGAUAAAUCAUUGCAACUGCUAGUCUUUAAUUAGGAAUUCCUAGUAAGCAUGAGUCAACUUGCAUUAACUAUGUCCUUGCCCUUUGUACCACUCAUUGCUUUUACCGAUUGAAUGUUCCAAUUAAGUGUUCAAAUCACAGCAACAUGGAUGGUUUUUUGGCCAUGACAUCAUGGGGUCCACUAAACCUUAUCAUUUAAAGAAAGGAAAAGUCAUAAACAAGGUUUCCAUAGGUGAACCUAUGGAAG